rnacentral:lncRNA from 1 species
AAUUAGAGAAGAAACUUUAGUCAGUAAAAGUUGGGGGUGGGGUGACUAGGGACUAAACUAGUUUCAGUCACCCAUUAGUCAGGGGUGUUUGGAGGUUUACUGACUAAAGAUGACUACUACUAGUCUCUAGUGAUCCAAACACCCUCUUUGUCAUCAUCCACCAACAAAAAGAAGGCUUUGCCAUCAGCCACCACGUGCACUAGACGACAAAUGCAUGGUCAGUUUCAUUCAAGUUGGCUUUUUUCACACAUUUAUUCAACUUGAUUGAAGUACAAUAUGCAAACAAGACAAUGAAAGAGCUAAAGUUACAAAAUAUCCUGGGAUAUUAACACACAGAACCCUAAAAUNAGCAAUCGACCCCUUCUUCUCCACUACAGAGCUUUGUUUGCCCUGCCCCACGGAUCCGACGCUCGUCGCGCCGCUCUACCGUCCUAUGGUCGCUGCGUCGCCGCCCGAUCCUGGUGGACGCGCCGCCGCUUCAGCGCAGCCGAGCUAAGCCGCAACGCUUGCCGUGCCGCCGCGAGGCCCAGCUCGCUCAUGCGGCUCACCGCCCACGAGCGCUCGGUUGCCCGGCCGCACCACUCCCGACCCUGCGCCCACGCCGCUCACCCACCUUGCACGUCGUCCUCUUUCUAGCAGGGGCAGGCGGUGAUGUGGCAGCCCCCGCCAGCAGCUGCGAGGGCCAGGCAGCGAAGGGAAGGCUCUAGGAGCUCGUGGAGCAAAGAAAGGGGCGGACGGAUGAUCUCGCGGUGCGGGCGGAGCUCGCGAGGCGGAUGGGCUCGCGCGGCCGGAGGAGCUCUCUGUGUCGAUGAUGGCGGAGGAUCUGAGGACGGAGGAGCUCGGGGGGACGGCUGGAGGAGCUCAGGGGGAUGGUCGGGGGAGCUCCCGGUGCGCUCCGAUGAAACACCGAGCGGCGGGUGAGGACCAGGCUUGAGCCUGUUUGGUUUGGGGGAAUUAAAACUAGGGAAUGAGAAUUAAGAGGACAUGAGACUAAAACUCCCUUGUAUGGUUCAGGGGAAGAGGAAUUUAGGAGGGAAGCGGAUGGGGAAUUGAGAGGGCCAACUCCCCUGUAUCUAUUUCCUAGGGAGGCCUGGUAAUUCAGCUGGGGAAAGGGAAUUGACAAACGAAAAAAAAAUGUUGCGUUAGUUAUGCAUCUCGGGCAUGAAAAACUUCCCGAUAUAAGAGGAGACGCCAACAAAUUCUUGUUUCUUGUAGCUUUUCUCAUCAUAUUAAUACACAUAUAUUCCCUUCUCUCGUGUUGUUUACAUGAAAGUAUCUAAUUUAUUUAUUUAAAGACUUACUUUCUAUCAAAUUCCCACAAGCAAUUUUUAACACGUACCAAACGUGGGAUUAGGACUAAUAGUCCACUUCCCAAGUCGAAUCCCUCUACAAACUCCCUUUUAUGAAUUCCUAUUCCCUUUCCCUCAAGCUACCAAACAGGCUUGGGUGGGGCUGGAUAAGUGCGAGAGAGAGAACGUGGUGGGGGUGAGGGGUGAGAGCAAAUCUGGCCAAACGGGCCGUGCCUCACGGGCCGGCACGGCUGCCCGCGGGCCAGGCACGAGUCGGACCCGACCCGGCACGGGUUAAUCAUGCCCGGGCCAGGCACAAGCACACCAUGGGUCGUGCCCGGACCGCCACCAUGAGCCCGCGUGCCGGCACGGCACGACACGGUUAACGUGGCAUGGCACGACCCGCUAGGUACGACACNAGGCGGUGAUGUGGCAGCCCCCGCCAGCAGCUGCGAGGGCCAGGCAGCGAAGGGAAGGCUCUAGGAGCUCGUGGAGCAAAGAAAGGGGCGGACGGAUGAUCUCGCGGUGCGGGCGGAGCUCGCGAGGCGGAUGGGCUCGCGCGGCCGGAGGAGCUCUCUGUGUCGAUGAUGGCGGAGGAUCUGAGGACGGAGGAGCUCGGGGGGACGGCUGGAGGAGCUCAGGGGGAUGGUCGGGGGAGCUCCCGGUGCGCUCCGAUGAAACACCGAGCGGCGGGUGAGGACCAGGCUUGAGCCUGUUUGGUUUGGGGGAAUUAAAACUAGGGAAUGAGAAUUAAGAGGACAUGAGACUAAAACUCCCUUGUAUGGUUCAGGGGAAGAGGAAUUUAGGAGGGAAGCGGAUGGGGAAUUGAGAGGGCCAACUCCCCUGUAUCUAUUUCCUAGGGAGGCCUGGUAAUUCAGCUGGGGAAAGGGAAUUGACAAACGAAAAAAAAAUGUUGCGUUAGUUAUGCAUCUCGGGCAUGAAAAACUUCCCGAUAUAAGAGGAGACGCCAACAAAUUCUUGUUUCUUGUAGCUUUUCUCAUCAUAUUAAUACACAUAUAUUCCCUU